CUAACAAGGAUUCCCCUAGUAACUGCGAGUGAAGCGGGAAAAGCUCAAAUUUGAAAUCUGGCAGUCUAUUUUUUCUUCUUUGGCUGUCCGAGUUGUAAUCUAGAGAAGUGCUUACCUGCACUGGACCAUGUAUAAGUCUCCUGGAAUGGAGCGUCGCAGAGGGUGAGAAUCCCGUCUUUGACAUGGACCGCCAGUGUGUUGUGGUGUGCUCUCAAAGAGUCGAGUUGUUUGGGAAUGCAGCUCUAAAUGGGUGGUAAACUCCAUCUAAAGCUAAAUAUUGGCGAGAGACCGAUAGCGAACAAGUACCGUGAGGGAAAGAUGAAAAGGACUUUGGAAAGAGAGUUAAACAGUAUGUGAAAUUGUUGAAAGGGAAACGCUUGAAGUCAGUUAUGUCGGCUAGGGAUCAACCUAGCUCUUUUGCUGGGUGAAUUUCCUAUUCUGACAGGCCAACAUCAGUUUCGACUGCUGGAAAAGAGCGGAGGGAAUGUGGCACCUUCGGGUGUGUUAUAGCCCUUUGUCAUAUGUGGCAGUCGGGACUGAGGGAUGCAGCGUGCCGCGAGGCUGGGUUUCGACCACGUUCACGCUUAGGAUGUUGGCUUUUAAUGGCUUCAAUCGACCCGUCUUGAAACACGGACCAAGGAGUCUAACAUGCCUGCGAGUGUUUGGGUGGAAAACCCUUGCGCGCAAUGAAAGUGAAAGUUGAGAUCCCUGUCGUGGGGAGCAUCGACGCCCGGACUUGAGCUUUUAGCGACGGAUCCGCGGUAGAGCAUGCAUGUUGGGACCCGAAAGAUGGUGAACUAUGCCUGAAUAGGGCAAAGCCAGAGGAAACUCUGGUGGAGGCUCGUAGCGAUUCUGACGUGCAAAUCGAUCGUCAAAUUUGGGUAUAGGG
rnacentral:rRNA from 1 species